rnacentral:rRNA from 1 species
CAAUAGCGUAUAUUAAAGUUGUUGCAGUUAAAAAGCUCGUAGUUGGAUUUCUGAAGGUGGUUGGAUUGGUGUGACCUCGCGUUGCCUCAACCAUACUAUUUUCAACAUAUGCGAUGAAUUGGUGUGGUUAAUUAAGUUUGAUCCGCCAUUAAAUCGCUCGUUUACUUUGAGAAAAUUAGAGUGUUCAAAGCAGGCAUAACGCCUUGAAUAUGUUAGCAUGGAAUAAUAGCAUAGGACUUUGGUUCUAUUUGUUGGUUGUUCGAGAACUGGAGUAAUGAUUGAUAGGGACGGUUGGGGGCAUCCGUAUUCUCAAGCGAGAGGUGAAAUUCUUGGACCUUGGGAAGACGAACAGCUGCGAAAGCGUUUGCCUAGGACGUUCUCUUUAA